rnacentral:tRNA from 1 species
GAGGGUAUAGCUCAGUAGUAGAGCUCCUGCUUAGCAUGGACUAGGUCCUGGGUUCAAUCCCCAGUACCGCCA